rnacentral:rRNA from 1 species
AUUGAACGCUGGCGGCAGGCUUAACACAUGCAAGUCGAACGAGUGGCGGACGGGUGAGUAAUGCUUGGGAAUCUAGCUUAUGGAGGGGGAUAACUACGGGAAACUGUAGCUAAUACCGCGUACCAUAGGAUGAGCCCAAGUGGGAUUAGGUAGUUGGUGAGGUAAAGGCUCACCAAGCCGACGAUCUCUAGCUGGUCUGAGAGGAUGACCAGCCACACUGGGACUGAGACACGGCCCAGACUCCUACGGGAGGCAGCAGUGGGGAAUAUUGCGCAAUGGGGGCAACCUGACGCAGCCAUGCCGCGUGAAUGAAGAAGGCCUUCGGGUUGUAAAGUUCUUUCGGUGACGAGGCGUUAAUCACAGAAGAAGCACCGGCUAACUCCGUGCCAGCAGCCGCGGUAAUUC